rnacentral:rRNA from 1 species
CCUACGGGAGGCAGCAGUAGGGAAUCUUCGGCAAUGGACGAAAGUCUGACGGAGCAACGCCGCGUGAGUGAAGAAGGUUUUCGGAUCGUAAAACUCUGUUGGUAGAGAAGAACAAGGACGUUAGUAACUGACCGUCCCCUGACUGUAUCUAACCAGACAGCCACGGCUAACUACGUGCCAGCAGCCUCGUUAAUACGUAGGGGGCAAGCGUUGUCCGGAUUUAUUGGGCGUAAAGGUAGCGCAGGCGGUUUCUUAAGUCUGAUGUGAAAGCCACCGGCUCAACCGGGGAGGGGCAUAGGAAACUGGGGGACUUGAGUGCAGAAGAGGAGAGUGGAAUUCCAAGGGUAGCGGUGAAAUGCGUAGAUAUAUGGAGGAACACCAGUGGCGAAGGCGGCUCACUGGUCUGUAACUGACGCUGAGGCUUGAAAGCAUGGGGAGCAAACAGGAUUAGAUACCCCGGUAGUC